rnacentral:tRNA from 1 species
CCGGCGCGGGCUGCGGCCGGCGGCCCUUGGACUCCAGCUCCGACUUCAGCCGCUGGUUCUCCACCAGCGCGUGGGAC